CCUACGGGAGGCAGCAGUGAGGAAUAUUGGUCAAUGGGCUUACGCCUGAACCAGCCAAGUCGCGUGAGGGAAGACUGCCCUAUGGGUUGUAAACCUCUUUUGUCAGGGAGCAACGCCGGCUACGUGUAGCCGGACUGAGAGUACCUGAAGAAAAAGCAUCGGCUAACUCCGUGCCAGCAGCCGCGGUAAUACGGAGGAUGCGAGCGUUAUCCGGAUUGAUUGGGUUUAAGGGGUGCGUAGGCGGAAUGCCAAGUCAGCGGUAAAAUCGCGGGGCUCAACCUCGCUCCGCCGUUGAAACUGGCGUUCUUGAGUGGGCGAGAAGUAUGCGGAAUGCGUGGUGUAGCGGUGAAAUGCAUAGAUAUCACGCAGAACUCCGAUUGCGAAGGCAGCAUACCGGCGCCCAACUGACGCUGAAGCACGAAAGCGUGGGUAUCGAACAGGAUUAGAUACCCGGGUAGUC
rnacentral:rRNA from 1 species